ACUGCUCAGUAACACGUGGACAACCUGCCCUUAGGUUGGGUAUAAACCCGGGAAACUGGGUAUAAUACCCGAUAGGUCUCGAUUGCUGGAAUGCAUCGAGAUUUAAAGCUCCGGCGCCUAAGGAUGGGUCUGCGGCCUAUCAGGUAGUAGUGGGUGUAGCGUACCUACUAGCCUACGACGGGUACGGGUUGUGAGAGCAAGAGCCCGGAGAUGGAUUCUGAGACACGAAUCCAGGCCCUACGGGGUGCAGCAGGCGCGAAAACUUUACAAUGCUGGCAACAGCGAUAAGGGAACCUCGAGUGCCAGGUUACAAAUCUGGCUGUCGAGAUGCCUAAAAAGCAUUUCAUAGCAAGGGCCGGGCAAGACCGGUGCCAGCCGCCGCGGUAACACCGGCGGCUCGAGUGGUAACCGUUAUUAUUGGGUCUAAAGGGUCUGUAGCCGGCCGGAUAAGUCUCUUGAGAAAUCUGGCAGCUUAACUGUCAGGCUUUCAGGAGAUACUGUCUGGCUCGAGGCCGGGAGAGGUGAGAGGUACUUCAGGGGUAGGGGUGAAAUCUUGUAAUCCUUGAAGGACCACCAGUGGCGAAGGCGUCUCACCAGAACGGACCUGACGGCAAGGGACGAAAGCUAGGGGCACGAACCGGAUUAGAUACCCGGGUAGUCCUAGCCGUAAACGAUACUCGCUAGGUGUCGGCCACGGUCCGACCGUUGUCGGUGCCGUAGGGAAGCCGUGAAGCGAGCCACCUGGGAAGUACGGCCGCAAGGCUGAAACUUAAAGGAAUUGGCGGGGGAGCAC
rnacentral:rRNA from 1 species